rnacentral:rRNA from 1 species
GACGAACGCUGGCGGCGUGCUUAACACAUGCAAGUCGAACGGAAAGGCCCUGCUUUUGUGGGGUGCUCGAGUGGCUAACGGGUGAGUAACACGUGAGUAACCUGCCCUUUACUUUGGGAUAACUUCAGGAAACUGGGGCUAAUACCGGAUCGUAGCUCCUGCUGCAUGGUGGGGGUUGGAAAGUUUCGGCGGUUGGGGAUGGACUCGCGGCUUAUCAGCUUGUUGGUGGGGUAGUGGCUUACCAAGGCUUUGACGGGUAGCCGGCCUGAGAGGGUGACCGGCCACAUGGGGACUGAGAUACGGCCCAGACUCCUACGGGAGGCAGCAGUGGGGAAUAUUGCACAAUGGGCGGAAGCCUGAUGCAGCAACGCCGCGUGCGGGAUGACGGCCUUCGGGUUGUAAACCGCUUUCGCCUGUGACGAAGCGUGAGUGACGGUAAUGGGUAAAGAAGCACCGGCUAACUACGUG